AUGGACUCCAGGCUGAGCUGGGUUUUUCUUAUUGCUAUUUUAGAAGGUGUCCGGUGUGAAGGGCAGCUGGAGUCUGGGGAAGACGUGAGGCAGCCUGGGGGAUCUCUGAGUCUUUGGUGUAAGGGCUCUGGAUUCAUCUUCAGCAGUUAUGACAUGGAUUGGGUCCGCCAUGCUCCAGGCAAAGGGUUAGAGUGGGUCUCAGGUAUUACUCCCGGUGGGGGCGCUUACUACUCAGACUCUGUGAGGGGCCAAUCCACCAUCUCCAGAGACAAUGCCAAGAACACGUUGUAUCUGCAUAUGGACAGCGUGAAACCAGAGGACACUGCCCUGUAUUACUGUGUGAAAGACACAGUGAGAGGAAGUCAUUGUGAGCUCAGACAUAAUCCUGCUCUGCAGGAAGGGAACCGGGCUCCAGGGAGUGCUCAGAACUCACUAAGUCCAGGGACCAGCACCAGGGGCAGGCUCAAGACCAGCACCCUUAUGUCCCUUGGGGAUCUAGAGUUAUAA